UCCCUAAUUUUUUGUCUACUUUCUCCUUGGGUAGAGUUACUUUAAUAUGGAUAUUUUUGCCUUUCCCCCCUUGUAUUCUAAAGACUUCACCUUCAUCAUCUUGUUGUAGCAAAACUUUGUGAAUAUGAGUUCAAGAACCCUAAUUCAAUUCCCAAUUUUCUCACCACCAGCUCCACCGCACAACCACCGGCCGUCCACUGAAGUUCAUUUCUCACGGUGGAACAACGCCAAUGCUGAAAAAUUCAUCCGCCAUGAACGAACUCAGAAGGAAAUCGAAGAUGAAAUCCGCUUCCAUAAGCGCUUCGAUUCUGCCCUCAACAUUGCCAAUAAUUACAACCCUGCCCUUCCAUCACCAAUCACACAAGAAAACAAAACCUUUAAAUCCAUUGGCACGCCUUCAACCCCUUCUUCCCCUUCCAUACCUGGGAAGAAAUCCAAGUAUUCUAGAAGUUUCCAGAAGAACCCUCGUCAAAUACACCCUGCAUUUAAACCUCUGGUUAGACCCCGGAAGAUUCCAGAAGAAACCCCAGGAGGAGGAGGAGGAGGAGGAAAAUCAGCUAUUGAUAUCAAAGUUGAUGAAAAUGGGGUGUGUUAUGAAUUUCCAGAAGCCCCAUUUGUGUAUCAAUAUAGUUACACUGAAACACCAAAGCUGAAGCCUAAGAAGCUGCGAGAGCCUUUAGUGUCGCCAUUUGGCCCGGAGUCAAUGGGAAGGCCGUGGACUGGUAGGAAACCGUUGCCACCGAGCAAGAAGAACCUUCCAGAAUUUGAUUCAUUCCAGUUGCCGCCGCCUCAUAAGAAAGGGGUCAAGCCAGUUCAGGCUCCUGGACCAUUCUUGGCGGGUUCUGGGCCUAAGUAUGUUAAGUCUAGAGAGGAGGUAUUGGGAGAGCCACUGACCAAGGAGGAGAUAAUGGACCUUAUAAAUAGUGUUAAGAAAACAACGCGGCAAUUGAAUAUAGGACGGGAUGGCUUAACACAUAACAUGUUAGAUAACAUCCAUGCACAUUGGAAGCGGAAAAGGGUGUGCAAGAUAAAAUGCAAGGGGGUGUGUACUGUGGACAUGGACAAUGUUUGUGAGAAGUUAGAGGAGAAGACAGGUGGGAAAAUUAUCUAUGAUAAAGGUGGUUUGAUAUUCCUUUUCCGUGGUCGAAACUACAACUACAAAACUCGGCCACGCUUUCCUCUCAUGUUAUGGCGGCCGGUAACUCCCGUCUACCCAAGGCUGGUUCAGCGAGUUCCAGAGGGUCUAACUUUAGAGGAAGCAACUGAAAUGCGCAAAAAAGGACGCAAUCUGAUACCUAUCUGCAAGCUUGCGAAAAAUGGAGUGUAUUGUGACCUUGCAAAGAAUGUCAGGGAAGCAUUUGAAGCUUGUGAAUUGGUGAGAAUAAAUUGUCAAGGAUUGAAUCCAAGCGACUAUAGGAAGAUAGGUGCCAAGCUUAAGGAUCUUGUCCCAUGUGUGUUAAUCUCUUUUGAGGAAGAGCACAUACUCAUGUGGAGAGGACGGGAUUGGAUAUCCUCUCUACCUGAAGACACAAACAAUCCUGAGAGAAGGAAGGAUUUGGAAGCUGAUAAUGCUGCUAUCACUAAGCGAUCCUUUGAAGGCCAAGUGGUUCCAUCUACUUCUGGAAGUCCAAGCUUACCAAUUACAGAAAUGAAUCCUUGCAAUCUCAGUACUAACACUUCUCCUCUUGGCGAGGAAGAUGCAGAAUAUGUUAGAAGCGACGGAACAAAGGAAGAUAGGUCGGAGGAUCACUAUUUGGAAUCUUCCAAUAAGGCUCCUUUAGAUAUUGGUGCUGUUACAAAAACAGAGAUAAGUGAAAGCGAAAUCCCUCUGGUGUAUGCAGGAGAUACAGGUGACAAUUCUAGAAUUCUGAGUGACUUCCAUGAAUGCAAAACCAGGUUGAAUGAUUCAGUGGUGAAUCCGGAAAAUGAGUUGGGGAGCUCUUCAGAUGAUGUAGAAAACCAGUCUGAUUCCUCAUCUUUGGUUCCCAUUACUGGUUACAAGGUGCAUUCUUUAUCUGUAGAUACAAACCAAAACUGUCAGCUGGUAAGCUCAAUCACGCCAUGGAAGGAAGGAAUUUUACUACUUUGGAAGAAGGCUAUUGAACGUGGGAGUGCAGUUCUAUUAGAUGAUUCUACUAUCGAUGCUGACAUUGUGUACCAAAGGGCAGUUGCUCUCUCUAAAUCUGCCCCACCUGGACCAGUUUUUCAGCAUCGGCCUAAGAAAGUGUCAGUUCAAAGACAUGGGGAAGAAGAAACUGGUGAUUUGGAGGUAGGAUGCACCAAAGUCACUCCAGCUUCUUCGAGAAAAGAAAUUUCUGUUUCAGGUAGAAAGGUCAAUUCAACAAAGAGUACGAGAAAGGAGAAGUUGAAGGGUGUUAGAGAAGAUUAUCUAAAUGCAGUACCAAAGGGAAGCUUAGGAGUAGAUGAGCUUGCCAAAUUACUAGCUUAGCUUGAUGAAUGAGUAACAAUAUUUGAAGGAUCAAGUCGAUUAUUCUUUCUAUAAUGUCAAUGUCAUGUAUCUUUUCCAGAACCAAUGAUUUUGCCAGAGAAGAUAUAUUUCCUCUACAGGAACCUGCUAUGUCCCGUGCAAGAGAAACAAGAUGAAGCAGCUCAUGAUGAAUAUCAAGCCCGCGAACAGCAGGAAAAUUCCAUAUUUGAGGCGGCAGAGAGACCCAAGGAGCAAUGAAGGCUGCGGAGAUCAUAUUGACACAGACCACCAUGCUCUGUCCUGCAGAUCUUGUUUGCAGUAGAAACAAUUGACUAGGUACCAGCCAACCUAAGGAUGAGUUUCGUCCUUUUGUUCGUCGUCUUCCUGAGUUUAAAUUCUCGUUUGUAUUAUCUUUGAUUGAUUAAUUUGACAAUUUUAUGUAUUUUGGCUUUGGAUUGCUUGUGAAUUUUUGGAUUUGAUGUGAAUAUGCCAUGCUAUUGCGAUCUCAUUUUGUGGUUUUCUUU